rnacentral:tRNA from 1 species
GGGGAAGUGCUGGAAUUGGCAGACAGGCUGGACCUAGGAUCCAGUGGAGCAAUCCGUGGGGGUUCAAAUCCCCCCUUCCCCA